GGGCUUGACAUCCCACGAACCUGAAAGGGAAGGGAGCCCGCAAGGGAAGCCGGCACAGGUGGUGCAUGGCUGUCGUCAGCUCGUGUCGUGAGAUGUUGGGUUAAGUCCCGCAACGAGCGCAACCCUCACCCUCUGUUGCCAUCGGGUCAUGCCGGGCACUCUGAGGGAACUGCCCCGGUCAACGGGGAGGAAGGCGGGGACGACGUCAAGUCAUCAUGCCCCUUACGCCCUGGGCUACACACGUGCUACAAUGGCCGGUACAGAGGGCUGCAAGCCCGCGAGGGGGAGCUAAUCCCACAAAGCCGGUCUAAGUUCGGAUUGCAGGCUGCAACUCGCCUGCAUGAAGGAGGAAUCGCUAGUAAUCGCGCAUCAGCACGGCGCGGUGAAUACGUUCCCGGGCCUUGUACACACCGCCCGUCACACCACGAAAGCCGGCUGUACUCGAAGUCGCUGAG
rnacentral:rRNA from 1 species